rnacentral:lncRNA from 1 species
UACAUCCCUCCUUUCCCAAAAGCAAGAUCAAGUGCCUGCAUCAAAUAAUGCAAGAGUGAGAUGACACAUCUCAGCAAGUAAAAAGGUCAAACAUCAAUUGGGACUAUGUAACCAAACCAUGCUUAAACAACCACGUAAUUCACAACUUCCUUCCUGAGUAUUAAUUUGCAGCAAGUACACAAGUAACCAAUUACUUAGUUUCAAAGAAGUGAAUCACCAAGUAAAGACCCACAAUAUCCACUUGACCACAACAGGUUCCACACUUCACCCUUGAACGCACAUGGCUACAGAUGCAGUAAUGACUUCUGCCUUCAUACCGCUAGGGUAUGAAGCUGCAUCAUACCCCUACUUGGGCAAUGUAUGAUGUUGAGUGUACCAGUACGGUCGGACCAUAAGAUCACGACAAAACUUCCAUGCAAAAGAUGAUGUAUGCAGUAUGCAUGACAACAACAUGAGAUCCUCCACCCACAUGUGGUAGACAUAAACUUCCACUUCCUCAAAAUGAUAAGACAACACGUGUAACAUGCUCAAACCACAUCUUCAACAUAAAAAAAUAAUGUAACAUGAAUAACUUCGAGCCACAUUUCCCACAAUGGAGUACAAGUAUGAAUACAUUUGACAUGGAUGUGAUUAAGCAUAGGACACAUAAAUCAAUCAACGGUAUAAACCACCACUAUUUUACUUGUCUUCACCGGGGAGUUUGGACAAAGCCUUGAGCAUAAUCCGGAAGUCCACCACCUGUUUUGGACACACAACUCAGUACACAAAUUUCACGUAACAACGCUCAUAAACGACGCCGCACCUACGCACAAUUUCAAACCCCGCCGCGGGUAACAACUCUUCCCACACCCACCAAACUGUAGCGGCGCUGCUUAACAAUUUCAUAUCUUUAAAAUUAUGACAGCAGAGGUAACAACCAAAAACUCCAGAGGCAUCUAUAUAAAAUUCCCCACAAGUUUUGUAUACAACUUAUCAUUAAACACCAACAUCUAAUUAGCCCAAAACCAUCCACAAGGUACAUCCUGCAAUCUGUUUUUUUGGACAGCAACACACCCGGAUUCAAACAGCGAUAUCUCCUAAUUUAUAACUCCGAAUUGAGCGCAUAAGUACUUGUUGGAAAGGUAUGACAAAGCUAUACAUAAUUCUCAUACUGUUUAUCACUAAUUACCCACGAAAAAUCCCCAGAAACUGCUAAUACUACUGCUGUACGCCCACCUGCAGAAAUCUGUUUCUUUGGACAGCCACAUACCUGGAUUCAAACGGUGAUAUCUCCUAAAAUAUAACUCCGAAUCGAGCGCAUAAGUACUCGUUGGAAAGGUAUGACAAAGCUCUACAUGAUUCUCAUACUGAUUCCCAUUAAUUACCCACGAAAAAUUCCCAGAAACUGCUAGAACUACUGAUGUUCGCCCACCCACUAAAUUUCUGGACAGCACCUCUACCAAUUCGCAUACGCAACAUCUAUUCAAUUGAAUUGCAGCACAAAUAAACAAGAGAUAAACACAAAAAUCACCUUGGAUUCUCCCCUUUUCCUUCCUUCCUUCUUCCCUCCACCAAAACCAAUUGGAGACUUGCACCACGCGACGUAGAUCCAAGCGACAAGGAAUGGCACCUUGGGGAGGAGGAGAUGGGGGUGGCUAGGGUUAGGUGGUGUGGCUGCAAGAGUUUGAGGGAGGAGGAGAUGGGAGGGGGGCGGCGGCCAAGGGCUAGG